rnacentral:lncRNA from 1 species
AGACUGGGAUUUGCCACUUCGUGUGACAGAGAGGUAUCUCGGGGCCCACUCGGUAAUACAACAUCACAAACAAGCCUUGCAAGCAAUGUGACUAAAGAGUUAGCCACCGGAUCUUGUAUUACGGAAUGAGUAAAGAGACUUGCCAGCAACGAGAUUGAAAUAGGUAUGGUGAUAUCGACGAUCGAAUCUCACGCAAGUAACAUACCGAAGGACAAAGGGAAUGAUAUACGGGAUUGUGUGAAUUCUUGACAUAGAGGUUCAACUGACAAGAUCUUCAUAGAAUAUGUAGGAUCCAAUAUGGACGUCCAGGUCCCGCUAUUGGAUAUUGGCCAAAGAGUGUCUUGGUCAUGUCUACAUAGUUCUCGAACCCGCAGGGUCUGCACACUUAAGGUUCGGUGACGUUUUCAGUAUAGUUGAAUUAUUGAUGUUGGUAACCGAAUGUUGAUCGAAGUCCCGGAUGAGAUGCCGAACGUCAGGAAUGUCUCUGGAAUGGUAUGGAAACAAAGAUUGAUAUAUAGGAUUGUUGCAUUUUCCUUCCGGAAAGAUUUUGGGUACCAGAAAGAUUUUGGGCAUUACCAGUAAAGUACUCGGAGUGACGAAUGGGAUCCGGGUUUUACCGGGAGGGGCCACCUACCCCGGAGAGGACUUAAUAGGCCCAUGGGUCAUGCACCAGCCCCUAGU